GUCGUAGUCAUGUUAUUCAAGCGAAAUGGUUAAACAUAAUGAAAAAAAUCAUGAAUAGACCAACUUCUUUUAUCUCCAUUUUCAAUCUUAUAUUUUGUAAAAAAAAAUUUAUAAAUAAAUAUAUGUUUAUUUUUUACAUUAAUAUAAAAGUUUUUUAGGCUUUCGAGUAUGAAUAUUAAUAAUAAUAUAUUUUCACAAUUCACAUACAUCGCAUGCAUACGAAACUAGUUAACUAUAAUGCCAAACCAUACCUUAGAUUUUCCCUCCAUUCUACCCCAAAAUUUCAAAACCCUUUAUUCCGCUUAAUUUCCAAAGUUGUUGAAAACCCCUCUUCUCUCUCUCACGCGUACCUGCUGAACCAGAGGUAGUAGAGAGAAAUUUCGUCACGACCAAAGAAGAACACACAGAUGGUUUCUCUAAUGCGUGUUUUGUGAGCAAGACGCAGUUGUCAGCAGAUUCAGGUUCAAUGAGAACGCCUUGUAUAUUCGACCUCAAGAUCAUGGACUCCCCUGACCUUCAUAACUUUGCAAAAAGAAGUAUUGGUUUUCCUGAGUUGAUAUGAAGCGUGCUGACUUGGUCUGCGUUGAUUAUUGGUGAGAUUUUGCUUAAAGG